GACGAACGCUGGCGGCGUGCCUAAUACAUGCAAGUUGAGCGCUGAAGGUUGGUACUUGUACCGACUGGAUGAGCAGCGAACGGGUGAGUAACGCGUGGGGAAUCUGCCUUUGAGCGGGGGACAACAUUUGGAAACGAAUGCUAAUACCGCAUAAAAACUUUAAACACAAGUUUUAAGUUUGAAAGAUGCAAUUGCAUCACUCAAAGAUGAUCCCGCGUUGUAUUAGCUAGUUGGUGAGGUAAAGGCUCACCAAGGCGAUGAUACAUAGCCGACCUGAGAGGGUGAUCGGCCACAUUGGGACUGAGACACGGCCCAAACUCCUACGGGAGGCAGCAGUAGGGAAUCUUCGGCAAUGGACGAAAGUCUGACCGAGCAACGCCGCGUGAGUGAAGAAGGUUUUCGGAUCGUAAAACUCUGUUGGUAGAGAAGAACGUUGGUGAGAGUGGAAAGCUCAUCAAGUGACGGUAACUACCCAGAAAGGGACGGCUAACUACGUGCCAGCCGCCGCCGUAAAAC
rnacentral:rRNA from 1 species